AGUGAACGCUGGCGGUAGGCCUAACACAUGCAAGUCGAACGGCAGCACAGUAAGAUUUUGCCCUUACGGGUGGCGGGUGGCGGACGGGUGAGGAAUACAUCGGAAUCUACUUUUUCGUGGGGGAUAACGUAGGGAAACUUACGCUAAUAGCGCAUACGUUCUACGGGUUAAAGCAGGGGAUCUUGGGGCCUUUCGUGUCUGAUUUAGCUGAUGUCGGAUUAGCUAGUUGACUUGGUAAAGGCCCACCAAGGCGACGAUGCGUAGCUGGUCUGAGAGGAUGAUCAGCCACACUGGAACUGAGACACGGUCCAGACUCCUACGGGAGGCAGCAGUGGGGAAUAUUGGGCAAUGGGCGAAAGCCUGAUCCAGCCAUACCGCGUGGGUGAAGAAGGCCUUCGGGUUGUAAAGCUCUUUUGUUGGGAAAGAAAAGAAGCAGGUUAAUCCCCCGCUGUUCUGACGGUACCCAAAGAGUAAGCACCGGCUAACUUCGUG
rnacentral:rRNA from 1 species